CACCACUCAAGCUAUGCUUGGUAUUGGGUGCCGUCCCCUCACGGGGGCGCGCCUCAAAGACCUCGGCGAGGCCUCACCGGCUUUAGGCGUAGUAGAAUUUAUUCGAACGUCUGUCAAAGGAGAGGACUUCUGCCGACUGAAACCUUUUAAAUUGUUUUCUA
rnacentral:misc_RNA from 1 species